rnacentral:rRNA from 1 species
UGCAAGUCGAACGGUAAAUCUAGUGCUUGCACUAGAUACGAGUGGCGCACGGUUGCGUAACGCGUAUGCAACCUACCCUUUACUGGGGGAUAGCCCGGAGAAAUUCGGAUUAAUACCCCAUGGUAUCUUAGGAUCUCAUGGUUUUAAGAUUAAAGAUUUAUUGGUAAAGGAUGGGCAUGCGUGACAUUAGCUAGUUGGUGAGGUAACGGCUCACCAAGGCGAUGAUGUCUAGGGGUUCUGAGAGGAUGAUCCCCCACACUGGUACUGAGAUACGGACCAGACUCCUACGGGAGGCAGCAGUAGGGAAUAUUGGUCAAUGGACGGAAGUCUGAACCAGCCAUGCCGCGUGCAGGAAGACGGCCUUCUGGGUUGUAAACUGCUUUUAUCAGGGAACAAAUAGCCCAUGCGUGGGAAGUUGAGUGUACCUGAAGAAUAAGCACCGGCUAACUCCGUGCCAGCAGCCGCGGUAAUACGGAGGGUGCAAGCGUUGUCCGGAUUUAUUGGGUUUAAAGGGUGCGUAGGCGGUCGAUUAAGUCAGUGGUGAAAUCCUCCAGCUCAACUGGAGAACUGCCAUUGAAACUGGUUGACUUGAGUACAGACGAGGUAGGCGGAAUUUAUGGUGUAGCGGUGAAAUGCAUAGAUACCAUAAAGAACACCGAUAGCGAAGGCAGCUUACUAGACUGUAACUGACGCUGAGGCACGAAAGCGUGGGGAGCGAACAGGAUUAGAUACCCUGGUAGUCCACGCUGUAAACGAUGAUGACUCGAUGUGUGCGAUAUACAGUACGCGUCUUAGCGAAAGCGUUAAGUCAUCCACCUG